UACGUAGGGGGCUAGCGUUGUCCGGAUUUAUUGGGCGUAAAGAGCGUGUAGGCGGCCAGGUAGGUCUGCUGUGAAAACUCGAGGCUCAACCUCGAGCUGUCGGCGGAAACCAUCUGGCUAGAGUCCGGAAGAGGAGAGUGGAAUUCCUGGUGUAGCGGUGAAAUGCGCAGAUAUCAGGAAGAACACCCGUGGCGAAGGCGGCUCUCUGGGACGGUACUGACGCUGAGAAGCGAAAGCAUGGGGAGCGAACAGG
rnacentral:rRNA from 1 species